UACGUAGGGGGCAAGCGUUGUCCGGAUUUACUGGGCGUAAAGAGCGUGUAGGCGGCCACGCAGGUCCGUUGUGAAAACUGGAGGCUCAACCUUCAGACGUCGACGGAAACCGUGUGGCUAGAGUCCGGAAGAGGAGAGUGGAAUUCCCGGUGUAGCGGUGAAAUGCGCAGAUAUCGGGAAGAACACCUAUGGCGAAGGCAGCUCUCUGGGACGGUACUGACACUGAGACGCGAAAGCGUGGGGAGCGAACAGG
rnacentral:rRNA from 1 species